UUAGGAUAAAGGGAAAACAAAACGUUGAUCUCAGCAAACAACACUCGUUCUUCCCACGGCGGCUUCCUUCUUGCUUGAAUUGUGUCGAUCAAAAGUAGGCAAUCCGACUCAAUCACCAGAUUCUCGUUGUUGAAGCGUUGGUGCAGCAAGUGAUGAAGAGUAAAGGGAUCCGUGAUCAGGGGGCUUCCGCAAGUAUGCUGAGUUGGGAGCAGAAUCCCUUGUUCGCUGUUGGCUUUGAUCAGAGAUUUGGUGGAUCCGGGUCUGUCCAAAGGCGUCCUCAACUGCACGGAGUGGAUAUGGUCUCUGCCGGUGGAAGAUGCUAUUGUUGCGCAUACACCAGAUCUGCCAUAAGACAUGAGCGAUUGUUUCCGGUCCAGGUGUUGUGUUAUCUUAGGAUGAACUAAUACAAGGAGGGCUUUAUAACCAAUGAUGGAAUUUGAAGUACGAAGUAAAGAAUUGAGGAUGGCUAGGUGGACCUAAUGGAGGUGAACAAGUUAAAGAAUGAGAAUUUGAUGGAGACUUGGUGAUGUUAUGACAAGGUGGAUAGUUUAUAUGAUCUUGGUCAUACUUAGGAAGAUGAAAUGGAAGAUAAUAUGUAUGUCAAUUACUGGUGGGAAGCCUCAAUAGACUCAUGCAUUGCUGAUAGAAGCAGUUCCUUACAUCACCUGAUAAGAAUGUGCUUGUCACAUAAUUAUACAUCAUGAUUUGAAGACCCUGAUUUUCUAAUGACCAUCAAUCUAAGUCUCAAGGAAUAUUGACAGCUUGCCACAAGCUUGGAACUUCGGUUAUGAAACAUGAAGGAGAAUUCUAUCAAUUGUCAAUCAAUAAAGUUUUUUUUUUAAAAAAUUUUCUUCUCUAUUUUGCAGGUGGCUAAUUUUGUCAUGGCUGGCAACUAGUCACAAGUGAAUGUUGCGCUCACCUAAACUCAAGUGAGAGUGACCCUCGCCUGUGGCCAACGAGGCUGCGGUGCCUUCACCCAUGUCUAGUUGAGCGCGGCCUUUGCUGGUUCUCAAAUGUGAUUAGGGGUGUCAAAAAAACUUGCGCUGGCCCCUACCUUAAAAUUUAGGGCAUUUUGGGGCCGGGUCAUAGUCUUCUUCGCAUAUGGACUUUUAGAUGUUGGUAUUGCUAGGGUUGGGGUCGGACUAGUGUGAGCUUUUUGACACCCUUAGAGCAUAGUACGACAAUGAUGAAACCUUUGAUUUGAGCCUGGCUGAUCGGCAUUUGUUCUUUUGGGUUAUAUGAUAUUCGAGUUUUAGGCGGGUUGGAAUGGUUUAAUCGCACCCCUAUAGGGUUUCGAGUCGGGUUGGGUAUCAUUAAAACGUGGCCUGACCCAACCCCUUGAUGCCCAUACCUGUGAUUGGCCGCUAGCCAUUAUUGAGACCAGCCACAAGGUGAAAAGGAAAAGAAGAAAAAGAAAAGAAAGAAAAGAAAAGGAAAAAAAAAGAAGGAAAAAUCAUGGAAAAUGCAAAACAAAUCAUAAAAUUGCUCAUGUAAGCGAUUAUUGGCCAAAAAGAAUAGAAGAAUUACAUUAGAGAAUAAAAAAGUUCAGGACUUGUUUGGCUUUUGUGCAAUAAGUUUAAGACUUUUUGGACAAUUUUUUUUUUUGGUGUGUGACCAAAGCUCUUAAAUUGUGCUCACUGUGAUACUAAUACCUUAAACUUUCAUCACACUUAUAUGAGUUUAAGGUAUUAGUGACACGAAAAAAAGUUUAGUGUACUAGCGUCAUAGUUGGUCAAAUUUAGAAUUUUUUGUGGUAGGCGGAGGGUAAUUGUCACAAUGGUGCUAAAAUUCUUUUCGGCAUUGAUGUGGUAGUGGGCAUAAUUGAGGAUUUGUAAAAGGAAAACUCAAAUAUUAAGAAAGGAAAACUCUAAUAAUUACAAGACUUUAGUUUAUAAUCAUAGUUAACAAUUGUCAAUUGAGUUUUGCAACUGCUCUUUGCUAUUUGAUGAGGUAUGAAGUAAAUAUAUAUUUCCUCUUGUAAGCUUGAUAUUACAUAAUCAUAGUUUGACAUUAUACAUUAGCUGACUAAUAAAAUAAGUUAGCAAUUGAAGUAUCUUUAUCACUGUAUAAUAUAGCAUGUGUUUUAUAUGUGGAUCAUCCUUUUGAGCCCAAAAUAACGAGUAUGUACACACGAACUCAAUAAAUGCGUGAGAGACGGAAGUUUUAUCGAAAAAAGAAGAAGUUUUUCCGCUUAGUGACUUUGCACUCCCAAUGCCAUAAUAGGAUAGCCAUGGUCACUUU